CGGGUGAGUAAUGCGUGAGCAACCUGCCUUUCAGAGGGGGACAACAGCUGGAAACGGCUGCUAAUACCGCAUAACACAUCGGGAUGGCAUCAUCCUGAUGUCAAAGGAGCAAUCCGCUGAGAGAUGGGCUCACGUCUGAUUAGCUGGUUGGUGAGGUAACGGCUCACCAAGGCGACGAUCAGUAGCCGGUCUGAGAGGAUGAACGGCCACAUUGGGACUGAGAUACGGCCCAGACUCC
rnacentral:rRNA from 1 species